rnacentral:rRNA from 1 species
UACGUAGGGUGCGAGCGUUGUCCGGAAUUAUUGGGCGUAAAGAGCUCGUAGGCGGUGUGUCGCGUCGGCCGUGAAAACCUGCAGCUUAACUGUGGGCUUGCGGUCGAUACGGGCAUCACUGGAGUUCGGCAGGGGAGACUGGAAUUCCUGGUGUAGCGGUGAAAUGCGCAGAUAUCAGGAGGAACACCUGCGGCGAAGGCGGGUUGCUGGGCUGACACUGACGCUGAGGCGCGAAAGCCAGGGGAGCGAACGGG